rnacentral:rRNA from 1 species
GAUGAACGCUGGCGGCGUGCCUAAUACAUGCAAGUCGAGCGAACAGAUGAGGAGCUUGCUCCUCUGACGUUAGCGGCGGACGGGUGAGUAACACGUGGAUAACCUACCUAUAAGACUGGGAUAACUUCGGGAAGCCGGAGCUAAUACCGGAUAAUAUAUUGAACCGCAUGGUUCAAUAGUGAAAGACGGUUUUGCUGUCACUUAUAGAUGGAUCCGCGCCGCAUUAGCUAGUUGGUAAGGUAACGGCUUACCAAGGCGACGAUGCGUAGCCGACCUGAGAGGGUGAUCGGCCACACUGGAACUGAGACACGGUCCAGACUCCUACGGGAGGCAGCAGUAGGGAAUCUUCCGCAAUGGGCGAAAGCUUGACGGAGCAACGCCGCGUGAGUGAUGAAGGUCUUCGGAUCGUAAAACUCUGUUAUUAGGGAAGAACAAAUGUGUAAGUAACUAUGCACGUCUUGACGGUACCUAAUCAGAAAGCCACGGCUAACUACGUG